rnacentral:tRNA from 1 species
UGUGGUGUAGCUCAGUUGGUAGAGCGUCGCAAGCGUUCAUAGCGUAGCGGGUACGCGCUGGUUCAAGUCCAGCUACCACAGCAA